CUCCGGUUGAUCCUGCCGGACCUGACUGCUAUCGGAUUGGUACUAAGCCAUGCGAGUCAUUGUAGCAAUACAAGGCGGACGGCUCAGUAACACGUAGUCAACCUAACUCGUGGACGUGGAUAACCUCGGGAAACUGAGAAUAAACCACGAUAGAUCAUAGUGCCUGGAAUGGCUUAUGGUCCAAACAGUUUACUGCCAUGGGAUGGGACUGCGGCCUAUCAGCUUGUUGGUGAGGUAAUGGCCCACCAAGGCUAUAACAGGUACGGGCUCUGAGAGGAGAAGCCCGGAGAUGGGUACUGAGACACGGACCCAGGCCCUAUGGGGCGCAGCAGGCGAGAAACCUUAGCAAUGUGCGAAAGCACGACUAGGUUAAUCCGAGUGAUUUCUGUUGAAGAAAUCUUUUGUCAGUCAUAAAACCGCAGACGAAUAAGGGGUGGGCAAGUCUGGUGUCAGCCGCCGCGGUAAUACCAGCACCUCGAGUGGUCAGGAGGUUUAUUGGGCCUAAAGCAUCCGUAGCCGGCUACGCAAGUCUCCGGUUAAAUCCAGCUGCUCAACAGAUGGGCUGCCGGAGAUACUACAUAGCUAGGGAGCGGGAGAGGUAGACGGUAUUCUGUGGGUAGGGGUAAAAUCCACUGAUCCAUAGAGGACCACCAGUGGCGAAGGCGGUCUACCAGAACGCGUUCGACGGUGAGGGAUGAAAGCUGGGGGAGCAAACCGGAUUAGAUACCCGGGUAGUCCCAGCUGUAAACGAUGCAAACUCGGUGAUGCAUUGGCUUAUGGCCAAUGCAGUGCCGCAGGGAAGCCGUUAAGUUUGCCGCCUCGGAAGUACGGACGCAAGUCUGAAACUUAAAAGAAUUGGCGGGGGAGCA
rnacentral:rRNA from 1 species